rnacentral:rRNA from 1 species
CCUACGGGGUGCAGCAGUGAGGAAUAUUGGUCAAUGGACGAGAGUCUGAACCAGCCAAGUAGCGUGAAGGAUGACUGCCCUAUGGGUUGUAAACUUCUUUUAUAUGGGAAUAAAAUGUUCCACGUGUGGGAUUUUGUAUGUACCAUAUGAAUAAGGAUCGGCUAACUCCGUGCCAGCAGCCGCGGUAAUACGGAGGAUCCGAGCGUUAUCCGGAUUUAUUGGGUUUAAAGGGAGCGUAGGUGGAUUGUUAAGUCAGUUGUGAAAGUUUGCGGCUCAACCGUAAAAUUGCAGUUGAAACUGGCAGUCUUGAGUACAGUAGAGGUGGGCGGAAUUCGUGGUGUAGCGGUGAAAUGCUUAGAUAUCACGAAGAACUCCGAUUGCGAAGGCAGUUCACUGGACUGCAACUGACACUGAGGCUCGAAAGUGUGGGUAUCAAACAGGAUUAGACACCCUGGUAGUC